AUUAGGAGGGAGCAUGCGCUUGAGAAACUGAAAACAAGGCCCCCACAGCUGGAGUGGAGAGGACAAGACGAUGUUCGGUGUGAGCUAAGACCACAGCGAUGAGGAGGGCCAAAAUCACACCGGGCCACCGGGCCACACGGAGAACGAUGCCCUCUUCUCCAUUGCGUGCAACUGAACCAACAUGGCUGGCAUUCCAGGCUUCCAGACAAGGAUAUAACAAAGAGUUCGUGGUUUCUAGAAGGUUCUCAGAGUGGCAAGGUCUACCUUAGAAUGUGCCGACACCAUUAAGAUCCUUUUUUGGUGAAACGUUUCCAGUGAUACUCAGAUGCCCCUGUUCAGAAAGAGCCCGGCCGGAGCGAACGAAAGCAGAUUCCUCCUCCGAAGAGAGCCCAGGCAACAAAUGGAGGCUGGUAAGGAGCACCCGUUGGUAAGAGAGAUAAGAUGACUUGGAACGAGUCUGAGUAUCAGCAAGCCUGCGUUUUCAAACUCAGGCCAACAGCUCGACGUCUAUUUAUGUCAGGUUAGAUCGCACCCUUUGAUAAAGCAUACGGUCACUAGAAAGUGUCCUUUCCUCCCCCUUCCUUCCUCCCGUAGGCAUAAAUUCCCCCUUAUACAGAUCAGUCUGCAGUCAUGAUUGGGUCCACCCUGAUUCAAAACAACCAGGACUUUCAUCUGAGAGGGGGAAAAAAAAAAAUCUAUCCGAACCCACUGUGUGAAAAUUGUAUGGACCCCAAGCAGUUUUAAUUGAACGUUGUACUUUUUACCAUAUACUUCUGCAUCUUUCGUAAAUGGGUUGGAGGCCACUUUGUAUCUAACACAAUGGUACCAACGUUGAAUUUUAAAAACAGAAAUGAAGGACAAUAGGAAAAACUAGUAACACCAAAGCUUGCGUUGGAAGUGGUCCACUAGAAAGUCCUACAGGAUUGUUUAAGGUAUCUCAAAACUUGGCUCUACUCUGCUUAUGGCCAAGGCAAAGCUUAUGCCAAGCACCGGAGAGGGACGCCUAUAAAGGAAAUCUGUGGGUUUCGAUUAUAUGCGUGUAAGAAAUGACCAGUGCUGAAUGGGGAGAGGUCUGCGGAAGCAGCCCUGUAUAGGGACCUCUAAAUAUCCUUUAAUA
rnacentral:lncRNA from 1 species